GGUUCUAAUUCUUCUUUACAACAUGACUAAUGUGAAAAAAAAAAGAAAUCCAAAUCCUAUCCUCAGAUACCAUCUUAAUCAAGUUUUUAUUUCCCCAAUAUGUCUUUCUUUGUGCAGUCCUUGCCUUUUUUUUCAGCAGCAAUAAUGGAAAUACUGCCUGUGCCUCUAAGGUCUUCAACUUCUUUCCCCAGACCACACUGUCUUUAGAAAUGCUUUCUAGAUUCCUUCUUGCAAUAUCAUUUGUGCCCAAGAGGAUCACUAGAAAUGGUCAGGAAUUAUCCUGCUUAGCAAGUCUUGGGAAAUUUUCUGUUAUGUUUUGGAUAUGUGCUCUAGGAAGAGAGCAGACCUCUCUAUUUUUGUUAUUAGAUCAACAAAUAGCUGUGUCCCGACCCCUCAGUUAGGAAUCCCCGAGUAUCACUGCUCAUCUUUUCUUCCUCUUUUUUGAUAAUCUCUAACUUGACAACACCUAUGAUUAUAGGUCAUAAAUCUUUGGAGAAAGUGAAACUGUUUCAUCUUCAGAGAAUCUAGGAAUAGACUCCAUCAGGAGAAAUUUCCUCUCCCUCUUCACCCAGCCCCCCAAACUUAGAGAGGGGAGAGGUGUUCUUUGUGCUCCUUUAUCUUCUGUUCAGGAAGAAGAUCAGCCUGUACUUUGAGCACAGAUAAGUACCAUGGCAGAAAUGCAAGUGUUACACACGGUAUGCAGGUCACUGCUAAAUAUUCUCUUUCUCCAUGUUUCCUGGAAGUGAGAGCCUCAGAUCAUUUUAAUUUUUGCUACUAACUACCAUGGGAAACACAGACCCCUAUGUGUUCUAACUCCUUGGCCCUAGUUUACCUCCCUGAUUCAUGGAAACUCCUCUAAACGUUGUUUUUCUUCUAGACUGAUCUCCUUUGUAUGACUCAAGCAUAACACCUCCCUGCAGUGGAACUGUCAGUAUCUUCUGAGCUGACCUGAACCAAUCUUGCUGUUCUAUGGGAUGAGUGGCAUUUCCAUAAAUAGAGAUGGAGAGGAAGUCAUGAGUAAAGUGCCAUGCUGAGACCAUGUCUAUCACACUACAGAAGCAGAAAUGGAAGCCCCGAGAAUGGAAACAAGCGUCCUCCCCUUAUAUAAGUAUAAGCAGCAAAGCUGGGAUUCUAACAUAGGACCUGUGCCCAGGUUCUUUCUACUCCCUCACGAGCCAUAGAAUUGAUAGAAUCUGGAGACUGCUUCUGAUGAUGCUGUAUGACUGCAAACCACGGUACCCUCAGUUAUCUGAAGAAUUAAAGUUAGGAAUCGUCUGAAGAGUAAUGAAAAACUGCAUGCUCCAUUGUACCCACCUACUGACAAAAGAUCUAAAAAGCCGAGGAUUUGUGGGAGGUCAAGGACAAAAAUCACAUAGUAUCAGAAUUCAUGAAUUGCCCUAUUGAAAGGGAGCAUCCAUAUUACUGUGAUCACAGAUCCAACGAAGAAGAUCACCAGGAUAUCAAAGAAUCAAAGCCAAGAAGAGAGAAUGUUGAGAAAGAAGGUGUGUUCAGCAGUGUCUUUUGCUUUGGAGAGGUGUAGGAAAGUGAAGACAAAGAAACAGUCAUUGUAUUUUUCAAGAAUGACAUAAGUGUUGAACUUUGAGAAGGGCUUGAAGGAAGCCUGAACUGAUGACCUUCAUAUCAGGCUAGCCUCCUCCACAUGCUCAGGAAGUUAGCUAGCUCUUACUAUGACAGUAAGCUGACAUGUGAAGAUUUUAUUGGUUCAAAGUCAUCUUUACAGGAGAGAUAGUAUGGUACCUGGAAAGGACUAGUCUACUUAGGAGUCAGAAGACCAGUAUUUUAAGUCCUGACCGCUAACAACUGCAUCACCCUUGCUAAGUUAUUUAACCAUUCCCAGUCAAAGAAGCUAACUAUUCCCCUGACCAUGGCAUUCCAUCUCCUAUAUCUUCCCAAAUUGGAAAUGCACUGCCCCUUCCCCUCUACCUCUUAGAAUUUCCAGUUUCUUUCAAAGCUGAGGUGCAACCUUCUUCAUUAAGCCUUUCCCUAAUUUCCCCCAGCUAUUGGUUCUCUCUGUCUCUGUAUCUCUGUCUUUCUCUCCCCCUGCCCCUUCUUUCUCUUCUCCUCCCCUCUCUUGCUCUCUUUUUAAUAUGUUGUAUCUACUCUAUGUUUAUGUGUGUAUGUGUCAUAUCUUCCUAGUACAAUAUAAUCUCAAAAACUGGGACUAUUUUGUUUGUUGUCUUUUUUCCCCUAGCACCCAAAAAAGUGCCUUGCACACAAUAAACAAUAAAUUUUGAGUAAUCAAAUUUAAUAGGGGAGUGGUGAUGAGGAUCCAGUGCUAGGGCAUGUGGUUGAACAGAAGAGCAUAAAAAAGAGAGAAAUACUGGCACUAAAACAAGGCCGUUACUAGCUCACGUACCUGAAUGGACUUCCUUAGUGAGGCAGAGAAAUCUAGGGAAAGGGGAGAUAGUCAGACAUUGACUGAUCUGGAGAGAGAACUACACAUCUAUGAGUUCCCUCCAGAAAAGCAUGUGACUUCUUUGGGAACCACAUACAUGGAAAAACUUGUGCUGAUUGAAAACACAGAAGAAGCCGACAGAAGUUACUGAAGGACCGAGAAAGACCCAUACUUUGUUGGAAAGGAAGAGGAGACCCUCCAAGUGGAAGAUCUAUCCAAUAUCCAGUCAUGCUUUGGCGAAGCAAUCACAAUAGGAGGAUCAGUCCCUUUUCUGGUACAGUGAGUCAUGUGGACUGAAUAGGUCCCAAGGUAAAUUGGGAUCUACCAGAAAAUUGAAACUCUGCCUUGUGAUACCAAAUGCUGUCACAAGCCAUCAGAUGCCUGAGAAAGAGAUGACAUAUGCGGAACACACAUUGCCCUGACUGCCUCCCUGUUGGUCAGUGCUCUAGGAAACAAAGAGGGGGUCCACAUCAGGAACAUUUCUCCUUAGGAAACCCAGACAAUGUAACAGCAACCUUUAUAUUGGUCCUGACAAUAAUCCAAAACACAUUAAAGGCUCACAUAAAGGCUUCCAAACUAAGUGUGGUAUCUCUUGGCAAAGAAUAGGAAAACUUUCUCUUUAAUGUUCCAGAAAAUGCCAUUUCCUGCCCCCUCCAUCAACAUGCUGCCAUGGCAACAGAGUAGUACAACCUGCUGGCAGCCAACUCCUCCACUGUCCCCAGCCAAAGUUCUUAGAAGCUAAGGAUGGCCCAAUCUACUGUUCCCUUUACCUACAGCACUGUCAACUUCUCCAAUAACAAUGGCUGUCUUCAUAAGUGCUGUGUAAAGACAGUUUUAAGGCAAGGCAAUAACUCAAGUCAAUAAGCAUUUAUUAAGUGCUUAUUAUGUGCCAGACACUGUGCUUAGCACUGGGAAGAUAAAGGG